rnacentral:lncRNA from 1 species
UGGGGUUUCACCGUGUUAGUCAGGAUGGUCUUGAUCUCCUGAUCUAGCGAUCCACCCACCUUGGCCUCCCAAAGUUCAGGGAUUACAGGUGUGAGCCACCAUGUCUGGCCUGAAAUAUUUUUAAAAAAGAAAUAUUUGGUCAUUCAGAUUGGCAAACAGAUUUUUUAAAUAAAAUUGUGAUAAAAUACACAUAAAUCUAAGAAAGUAAACAGGUGAAGGAAAGAAUAUGGCUUGAUAAAUCAAUUAGGAAAUAGAUUUCAUUAGGAAGAUGCCCUAGAGGUUAGCCGUCACAGGCCUUGACUAGUAAUGCUGCCCACUGAACAUAAAAUAUAAUGGCUUUGGACAGAAAAGUAUCAUGUAGGUGGAUCAGAAAAGGGUUGUAUAAAGCAAUACAGUAAGAGGGAAUAGAAUAAUUUUAAGGUCACCUGGCUGAUGUAUUGACAGUGCCAGGAAUUAAGAGCAAGGGAUAUAGUAUUCAGCUCUAGUACCAUAUACAACCUUCUGGCCAGGAGCUCUUUCAAUGACUGAGCAGGGACUUAGAAGGCUGAAGAUGAACAUAUAUAUCCAGUUACUUUUCUUUCACAAGCUUCUGUGGAAACAGAAACAACUCAGGACAUUUCAAAUGAGCCAAUAGUCUUUAUUGAAUACACAAAACAUAUUCAUCCAAGUUCUAGGUUUUAAAGAUUAUAAUUAAGUUUAUACAGUGAUAUAUAGUCAAGAACAAAGUUUUACAUCUUAUAAAAACAUGCAGUCAUAUCUUAACACAAUAUUAUGAUGUUUCCAUAUCUUGUGGUAUUGCCAUGGGAAAACAUAAAUUUGUUGUUGUAAGUUUACUGCAAAAUCAGCUGUCAGAUAAGCCUUAAUUUAAAGAUAAUUAGCUUUUUUUUUGUAAUUGGAAACAUGAGGAGAAUGUGUAAAAUACCCCAAAGGAAACAGACCCAGUUGGCAGAGUAAAUUAGUUUUGAUUUACAUGAGAUUUUAUAUGCCUAGAGAUUUUGGUAUGAAAAAAACUAAACUUCCAAAAUCCUAAAACAAUUUUAGUUCAUUUUAUUUCUUCUGUUUACCUAACAUUGAUUUAUUGCUUUUUAUUGCUAUCUCAACUACCCCAAGCCUUUAAAAAGCUGCCUUAUCAUCUCUCUAUGGUCAUUAGACUUUGCAAAAGAAGAAUUAAAUUCUAUAUGGUAGAAGGUGUUGGUAAUUUUCAAAUUAUAUUGCAGUGGCUUCAUUUUAUGACAAAUAUAAGAAUAAAAAUCAUCUAAUUGGACUGGAAAUUCAUGAUUAUUAUUGGUUAUGUGUUCCUGAGCCCUAGAAUGACAUUCUACUGUGACCACACAAUCCCUAAACAGUCUCCAGUGGGGUUUCCAGGUGAACAAGUCCCUAAGGAGCUCAAUCAAGUGGGGAAAGAGUCACACAUAUCAACGUUUCACAGCUAAAAUGAUUUGGUGACAGUGAAUACAAUGUGGAGCACAGAGAACAGAGUGACAAAUAACGGCAUUUUCUGAGGUAAGGGGUCACAGUCCUCUCUUCUCCUUCCCCACACCUACUUAGCAUGAUGCUCCUCUCCUGGCCAGUGUGUCCAAAGAGAUGGAGCUCCCUCUUCCCUCAGAUUCCAAUAAAGCAUUACUGUGAUUGCUUAUUGAAUAGAGGGGCAGGCCUCCAACAUGUCUCACCCCCUCCAGCUCUAAAUGAGAGAGACUAAAUUCAUGGUGAGUAUGGUCAGGAGGUGAGGAGCUCCCUUUUUUCACACAGCCCCUGCUAGUACGAGUUAGGUCCCCAGGUGCAGCUGCCUGAGAAUACUGGAAGCCAAUUGCCUUCACCCAAGCUCACUCAUAGUACAGAGGUUCCAAGCUGGGACAGUCAAGCCAGGAAAACAAGAGGCUACCACCCUGUUCACUGUGCAGAAAGCAACUCAGAGAUUUAGCCCAAGGGGAGAGAAAGUCUAUAAGAAAAAAGAGCUCUGAAGUUCUCCACAAAGAACCUAAGUGUGUUUGAAUAAAUCUUUUAAUUUUGAUAAUGUUUAACAUCUGAAAAUCAAUUAACGUACUAUAGCUCAUCAGUAGAAUUAAGUGACUCCACAUGGUCAUCUUAAUAGAUGCAGAAAAAGCAUUUGACAAAAUUCAAUGCCACUUCAUGAUAAAAACAUUCGAUAAACUAGAAAGAGAAGGGAAUAUUCUCCACUUGAUAAAGGGCAACUACAAUAAAUUCCACAGCUAACAUAUUCAGUGUUAAAAGACUGGGUGCUUUCCCCCUAAAAUUAGGUACAACAGGCGGUUUUCUGCUCUUACCACUUCUACUCAAUAUGGUAUUGGAGAUAGUGUACAGGCAGUAAAAUUUCACUAAAUACUGCUGAUAUGUCCUCCAAAAAUGUUCCAUCUUCAACUACCAUGAAAGUAUUAGAAUGCUUCUUUCUUUAUACCAUCUAAAACAUUAUUGCCUCUACAAUCUGUGAAAAAUGGUUAUAUGUUGCUAUUUUAAUUUGAAUUGCUUUAAUUAUAAUUAAAGUUGGGAAUUUUGAAUUUUUACUUAUUUUUAAAUUUUUUAUUGAGACAGGUCUCACUGUUGCCCAAGCUGGAUUGCAAUGGCAUCAUCCUAGUUCCCUGCAGCCUGGAACUCCUGAGCUAAAGCAAUCCAUCCGCCUUAGCCUCCUGAGUAGCUGGAACUACAGGCAUGUGCCACCACGCCUCAUUUUUGUAUUUAGGUUGGGCAUUUUAAAAUCUGUCAUCUGUUUUCAACAGUAUUUCUGCAAACUGUGUGUUUAUGUCUACCUAUUUUUAUUUGCUGUUUUUCUGUAUUGAUUUAUGAAAAGUUAUAUAUUAAAAACUUUAUAUAUUGUAUAUAAACAUGUUUUGCAAGCUUUUUUUAGUUUGUCUUUUGACUUUUCUCAUGAUAUAUAUUUUUAAUAUCCUAAAUAUUAUUU